AUAUUGAAUUGCUGUGAACGAGUCUUUGUUCUGUGGCUUAGACAAUCAGAAGCGUUUACCUGCUGGAGUGAGUGUUCAAGCUGAGAGUUAGGGGAGAAUCAGUAAUUCCAGUUGUGCUCUUAGGGCACUUAUACAUGUUUUAAAUGCUUUAUAUCUGUCUUACUGUUACACGUGCUAAUAACCAGUUAAGGUUCUUAGGUAUCAAUGUAUUACUAAGUGGCUUUGGAGAGCAGUUACCUUGAAAGAGAAUUAACUUGGGGAUACAGAAGUUUGAAAGACAAAGAUCCAGAUGUUGUUUGGUUGGUUUUAUUUUUCAUGCCCUGCAGUGCUUUGCUGUUGGAUUUGACAUGUUGUGGAUAAAUUGUUUCCAUAGGAUGUGUCCUUGCCAAAUGUUCCAAAUGCAGAGCUGUAGCUUUGGGUCUGUGGAUGUUCCUAGAGCAGAUGUAGUUGCAGUAGUGCCAUCGCUAGUUGGAAUAAGGCAGCAAGUACUUAACUGCAUGGGAAGAACUUUCUUAGGUAUCAAUAUAUUACUAAGUGGCUUUGGAGAGCAGUUACCUUGAAAGAGAAUUAACUUGGGGAUACAGAAGUUUGAAAGACAAAGAUCCAGAUGUUUGUUUGUUUGGUUUCAUUUUUCAUGCCCUGCAGUGCUUUGCUGUUGGAUUUGACAUGUUGUGGAUAAAUUGUUUCCAUAGGAUGUGUCCUUGCCCAACGUUCCAAAUGCAGAGCUGUAGCUUUGGGUCUGUGGAUGUUCCUAGAGCAGAUGUAGUUGCGGUAGUGCCAUCGCUAAGUGGAAUAAGACAGCAAGUACUUAACUGCACGGGAAGAAGUUUCUUAGGUAUCAAUAUAUUACUAAGUGGCUUUGGAGAGCAGUUACCUUGAAAGAGAAUUAACUUGGGGAUACAGAAGUUUGAAAGACAAAGAUCCAGAUGUUGUUUGGUUGGUUUUAUUUUUCAUGCCCUGCAGUGCUUUGCUGUUGGAUUUGACAUGUUGUGGAUAAAUUGUUUCCAUAGGAUGUGUCCUUGCCCAACGUUCCAAAUGCAGAGCUGUAGCUUUGGGUCUGUGGAUGUUCCUAGAGCAGAUGUAGUUGCGGUAGUGCCAUCGCUAAGUGGAAUAAGGCAGCAAGUACUUAACUGCACGGGAAAGAGCUACACAAGCCUCGUUGUAAACCGCUGAAUGAAGCCUGAAAACAAGAGUCGAUAGAAAUCAGGAUCCUAGUGUAGCGAGAUCAUUGUUAUUUCUCCCUCUAAAGAAAGUGGAUUCAGCUUUAAAGACUAUUUCCAAGGGAAUCAGCCGUCGAGAGUCUUGCUCAGCGUUUUGCAGCUUACAGAGCGCUUGUAGUCCUGCGGGGUUGUUUGCCAGCGGUGUCUGCGGUGCGGUGCAUUUGCAGUCAGGCUGCUGGAGUGCUGCCUAAGUCCUGCUUCCACUAGAGCCAGCAGCUUUCACAGGUUUCUGUCUUUCUUUGGCUUUAUUUUGUUCUUGGUGGGAUGUCUCAAGUGAGGUAAAAGCUUAAUAGCUCUCCUUGGCUAUUUCUUCCCAAGAAACUCCAGAAGCUCAUGUUCCCAGCCUUCUAUAAUGCUUCUGACUACAACAACAACUUGGAAUUUACAGGAUAAAUUUGCUUUCUCGACAAGGUGACGAAUGUGCCAGAAGAAACUUGGGCCUAUUGAAUUGGUGGCUUUCUGAGAACUUCACACCUUGUCUUACCCUGACCUGCUUUGAUGGAAGUCCAACCUUAACCAUCCCAAAACCUUGAUUUACCUCCUGUGCCAUUUAUCAGUCUUGGUCACCAGCACUUUUUGGGUUUGUAAAGCAGAUUAAAAUCAGGAUUCUCUCUCUCUUGGUUUUGCUUUUUGCAGCUAUCACUUCAUAAUAUUUUUUUUUCCCCCUAAACCAAUAACAACUUUGCCAAUCAAGUUGCUCAGUUCUGUCAAGUGGAAGGUCCUUAUUUCUCUUCAUUAGCAAUACUGUAAUCAGAGGUGCAAAAAAUAAAGAUGCAUUUAAUGCCUGUGCUCUGUGCUGUUAGAAAGCCUAUCAGGAGCAACUCCUGCAGAAAUCAACGGGCUGGAGCUCUAAAUCUUCUCUGCUUGUUUGCCAGUUGAGCUUUUAUAGACUGUCUCGUGUGUAAAGUGCUUGAUAGAGGCUUAAUCAGAAUCACCUUAAAGCCACUGCUUUGCCCUUUUUUUACUGUAUAAAAUAACCAAUUUAAAAGAUGUUGCUGCACAAGUGUAGGGCUUCUUGUUUUUCCCCCACAGAAUUAGGCUGUUUCCAGUGUAGGUGGGGAAAAUAAGUUUCCUUUUAUUUUUUUAUGAGAGAUAUACAAAGAUGACUGCUGUUGUCUGUAUUUUAAUAUCCUCUUUGGUGUCUGAAGUGUCUUUUGAUGUGUCUGUUGGUCCAACUCGUCUACUUCAAACAGCAAAUUGUAAUGGCUAAUGGUGUGGUCCUGAAAAGGGGUGCUGGGAGUCGAUCCCUUCAGCAGGCCCCAGAGAAAUGUGUGCCAGUGUCAUUUUAGCGUAGAAAAAGGAGGCAAUUGUAGCUUCCACCACUGUUUUUUUGAACAGAUGAAGUAGUUGAGGCUUGUUGAAGUUAUUUCUGUGAAACAACUGUGGCUGUUUGACCGCUGCAAAAAUCCUUCUACCUCUCUUCAAGCUCUCCUUUGCAGGUCACUUUGGGCUGUGCUUUGAUAUCACAGGGCGUCAGAGCAUCCAAACUUGUGGCUUCCAUCUGCUUUUCCUGGUUUCUUUUGGGUUUCUGCCACUUCUUCUUUUUUUGUGUGUGUCUGUGUUGGUCUUUUUUCUCUUCGUGGAACACCAGGAUGCCUUCUGGCUGGGGCUGAACUCCCUUCACCCACCUACAGUAGCUUCAGGCAAACCCUGCGCGCCAAGACGUGUUUAGCAAAAGGUACAAACUAAAACCCAACCAGCUCUUAAGUUUGGUGUUACUUGUGUGUGAAAGCCUCAGAAAUAGGAGAAUUCUAUAAUCAAUCAUGGCCAGUGUAAUUUUCUAGUAUUUUUAUGUCUGUGCUGACUGCUUUUAUUUAAAUAAAACCUGUUGUCUGUAUGUCCCUAAGCAAACGGUUGCAGCUUCAGUUCUACUCACGCUCUUUUAGCAGCUGCUCUUCUCCACGUGCAAUGAUUUGGGGUUUGUAUGUUCUGCCUUGAAAAGAUGUGGUUUGUGUUCUGCUUUAAGGCAGUGACAGAAAUUAAAAGUCCUUCAUGUUUUGUGA